GAGACACGCUGGCGGCGUGCCUAAACAUGCAAGUCGAGCGGAGAUAUAUGGAAGGUUUACCGGAAAUUAUCUUAGCGGCGGACGGGUGAGUAACGCGUGGGCAACCUGCCUCAUACAGGGGGAUAACACAGGGAAACUUGUGCUAAUACCGCAUGAAAUCAUAGUAUGGCAUCAUACAAUGAUCAAAGGAGCAAUCCGGUAUGAGAUGGGCCCGCGUCCGAUUAGCUAGUUGGUGAGGUAACGGCUCACCAAGGCGACGAUCGGUAGCCGAACUGAGAGGUUGAUCGGCCACAUUGGGACUGAGACACGGCCCCAGACUCCUACGGGAGGCAGCAGUGGGGAAUAUUGCGCAAUGGGGGAAACCCUGACGCAGCAACGCCGCGUGAAGGAAGAAGGCCUUCGGGUUGUAAACUUCUUUGAUAGGGGACGAUAAUGACGGUACCCUAAAAACAAGCCACGGCUAACUACGUG
rnacentral:rRNA from 1 species